GAUGAAGAACGCAGCGAAAUGCGAUAAGUAAUGCGAAUUGCAGAAUUUCCGUGAAUCAUCGAAUCUUUGAACGCACAUUGCGCCCGCCAGUAUUCUGGCGGGCAUGCCUGUUCGAGCGUCAUUUCAACCAUCAAGCCCCAGGCUUGUGUUGGGGACCUGCGGCUGCCGCAGGCCCUGAAAACCAGUGGCGGGCUCGCUGUCACACCGGGCGUAGUAGAUUUUAUCUCGCUCAGGGCGUGCUGCGGGUUCCGGCCGUUAAAAAGCCUUUUUUACCCAAGGUUGACCUCGGAUCAGGUAGGAAGACCCGCUGAACUUAAGCAUAUCAAUAAGCGGAGGA
rnacentral:misc_RNA from 1 species